rnacentral:tRNA from 1 species
GCCGGGGUGGCCGAGAGGACAAUGGCGGCAGCCUUGAGAGCUGUUGGUCUUUACAGGCCUCGCGGGUUCGAAUCCCGUCCCCGGCG